GGCCUGUUGGUCAAGCGGCUAAGACGUCGCCCUCUCACGGCGAAAACAGGGGUUCGAUUCCCCUACAGGCUACUA
rnacentral:tRNA from 1 species